UAGACCGUCCGAUCGCGAUUAAAUAGGGAGUGAACCUGCACCGUUCAUCGCGAUUCAAUUUGGGCUGUUUGUGCGCGAUUCAAUUUGGGCUGUUUGUGCACGAUUCAAUCUGGGCCAUCCGUGCAUGAUGAAAUCUGGGCCGUCCGUGCGUGUUUUUUAUCUGGGUCGUCUGUGUGCAGGGGAACGGAUCUCAGUCAUUCAAUCACGAGCACGCGGAUCGCCCACGUGGCUCUCCCCGCGUGGCCUCCCACAUCAAUAUCUCUACCACCUAGCGCGUCAUGGUUGGUCGGGGCUACUGACCGGGCAGCUGAUGUAGCGUAACUUUUCUAAAUUGCGUUUUAACCUCCGUU
rnacentral:lncRNA from 1 species